CUGCCUUUUUUUGUUUGAAUUCUCUGUGCUUACAAAGUAAGCACCUCUAGAACCUUCAGAGGAAGGUUGUGUUCUGUUUUCUCUAUUCAGUAAGAACUCAUAAAUUCCAAAAGAAUGUGGUCUGAAUUAAUGAAGUUUUACAGGAAACGCCAACCGUUUCUCUUUCUUCCCAAGGAUCACAAUCUGCCCAGAGGAAUAGGGAAUAGAUCCUCGACCCCCAACUUGAACUGUGUUCAGAAGACCAGCACAGGGUGACAAAACUGAGGCCUGGAGGGUUUAAAUCCUCGGUCACACAGCUGGUGAGAGAGUGGAGCCGGGAGUCAACCCAGGACUUCUUCCUGCCGGCCUCGGGGGAGUCAGGAGGCAGUGCCGCUCCUGGAGGUGGGGAGGUGACAUCUUCUCCUAACUGCAAUGUAUUACACUUUCCAACGGCUCUCUUUCAUGGAUGCGGUUUUUCUAAAACGGCCUAUCUGUAGAACCAGACAUUUGUAUCAACAACUUGGCAAACUGUCAGUUGUGACCCUACUCACGGGCGGAAAAAAUCCUUUUGAUUUAGAGCUCUUGAAAAUUGAGUUAACCUCAAAUCCCUUUGUUGACUAAACAUGAUUCCGUUAAUAAAAGA